GUGCUCGCUUCGGCAGCACAUAUACUAAAAUUGGAACGAUGCAGAGAAGAUUUGCCCCGGCGCAAGGAUGACACGCUAGUUAGUGAAACGUUCCAUAUUUAU